rnacentral:tRNA from 1 species
GGCUCCAUAGUGUAGUGGUUAGCAUGUCUGUUUUACACACAGUAGGUCCUGGGUUUGCAUCGUAGAUGGAGCCA